rnacentral:rRNA from 1 species
GCCUAAAAUCUAGCCCAUAUAUUCGUAUGACCCCCCUCCCCCUAAUCCCUAAACAAAACAUUCUCUCAUUAUAGUACAGGAGAUCGAAAAACUUCUAAGCGCUUCAGAUAAAGUACCGCAAGGGAAAAAUGAAAUAUAACUGAAAUAAUAAUAAAGCCUUAAAUAGCAGAGACACCCCCUCGUACCUUUUGCAUCAUGGUCUAGUUAGUCUACUCAAGCAAAAUGAAAUUUUUAGUUAGACAUCCCGAAACUAAGCGAGCUACUUCAAAACAGCCCAAAGGGGCUAACCCGUCUCUGUUGCAAAAGAGUGGGAAGAUUUUUAAGUAGAAGUGAAAAGCCUACCGAGCUUAGAGAUAGCUGGUUGUUCAGGAAAAGAGUUUUAGCUCUACCUUAAGUUUAUUUACGAUUUUAAACGAACCCUAAAACUUAAGAGCUAUUCAAAUAAGGUACAGCUUAUUUGAAACAGGAUACAACCUACAUUAAUGGGUAAAUAAUAGUGUAUGGGGUAAAGUUGGCCUAAAAGCAGCCACCCUUAGAAAGCGUUAAAGCUCAACUUCUAUCACUAAUAAUUUCCAAAAUUCUAAUUAACCCUUUAUUUUUACUGAACUAUUUUAUAACCCUAUAAAAGUAAUAAUGCUAGAACUAGUAACAAGAAAUUGAUUUUCUCCUAAAUGUAAAUAUACACCAAAAUGGACCAUCCAUUGGUAAUUAACGCAGAUGCAAAAAUUAUAAUAACCCCCUAGAAAAAUUUAUAGUUCUUAACGUUAACCUUACACUAGAAUAUUACAGGAAAGAUUUAAAGAAAAAGAAGGAACUCGGCAAAUUUUAGCCUCGCCUGUUUACCAAAAACAUCGCCUCUUGCCUAAAUAUAAGAGGUCCAGCCUGCCCAGUGACAAAGUUUAACGGCCGCGGUACCCUAACCGUGCGAAGGUAGCAUAAUCACUUGUUCUCUAAAUAAGGACUUGUAUCAACGGCAUCACGAAGGCCAUACUGUCUCCUUUCUCUAAUCAGUGAAACUGAUCUCUCCGUGAAGAAGCGGGGAUUUUUAUAUUAGACGAGAAGACCCCAUGGAGCUUAAAACUUAUUAUACACCUCUUCUCUAUAUAUCAUCUUAUUCAAGAAUACUUGUAUGCCAGUUUUUGGUUGGGGAGACCUCGGAGUACAAUAUAACCUCCGCAAUAAACGGACUAACACCCUUAUCCAUGAGAAACGUCUCUAAGAACUAAUAAAUUAAUAUUUAUGAUCCAAUAGUUUGAUAAAUGAACCAAGUUACCCUGGGGAUAACAGCGCAAUCUACUUCAAGAGCCCAUAUCGACAAGUAGGUUUACGACCUCGAUGUUGGAUCAGGGUCUCCUAGUGGUGCAACCGCUACUAA